rnacentral:rRNA from 1 species
AUUGAACGCUGGCGGCAUGCCUUACACAUGCAAGUCGAACGGCAGCACGGACUUCGGUUUGGCGGCGAGUGGCGAACGGGUGAGUAAUACAUCGGAACGUGCCUAGUAGUGGGGGAUAACUACUCGAAAGAGUGGCUAAUACCGCAUGAGAUCUACGGAUGAAAGCAGGGGAUCGCAAGACCUUGUGCUACUAGAGCGGCUGAUGGCAGAUUAGGUAGUUGGUGGGAUAAAAGCUGACCAAGCCGACGAUCUGUAGCUGGUCUGAGAGGACGAUCAGCCACACUGGGACUGAGACACGGCCCAGACUCCUACGGGAGGCAGCAGUGGGGAAUUUUGGACAAUGGGCGCAAGCCUGAUCCAGCAAUGCCGCGUGCAGGAAGAAGGCCUUCGGGUUGUAAACUGCUUUUGUACGGAACGAAACGGUCUGGGUUAAUACCCUGGGCUAAUGACGGUACCGUAAGAAUAAGCACCGGCUAACUACGUGCCAGCCGCCGCGGUAAAAC